AACAGUAGUAAUAGUAAAUCC
rnacentral:misc_RNA from 1 species